rnacentral:rRNA from 1 species
UACGGAGGGGCUAGCGUUGUUCGGAAUUACUGGGGCGUAAAGCGCACGUAGGCGGCUUUGUAAGUUAGAGGUGAAAGCCCGGGGCUCAACUCCGGAAUUGCCUUUAAGACUGCAUCGCUAGAAUUGUGGAGAGGUAAGUGGAAUUCCGAGUGUAGAGGUGAAAUUCGUAGAUAUUCGGAAGAAACACCAGUGGCGAAGGCGACUUACUGGACACAUAUUUGAC